GGGGAUGAUCGGUUUCGACAUCGCCUGGAUGCGCACGAGAAGCGGGCCGAGGACGCGGGGUUAUCUCGUUAACGCCCUCCGCAAACCAAUAGGUGCCAAUGCUAAGCGCACCGACUUCGCCCUCGCCGCCUAAGGCCAGCGCGUAAGUCCGUCAGACCGGGUUCGCCUCCGCCCCGGUUCCUGGCGUCAUCUAGGAGGCUCGCUGCGCGGCGACGCCUGAGCGUCGCGCGGGACUUGUACUCGGGCUGGGCCUGUCGAUCCAGGGGCUCAUGGCAAGGAUCGGGGCCGAGUAGAACGCCUUCAUGAGCUGCGCCCGGAGAAGACGUGCAAACUCAGCGAUGGACGGGGGUUCAAUUCCCCCAUCUCCACCA
rnacentral:tmRNA from 1 species